rnacentral:rRNA from 1 species
CCCUUAGAUGUCCUGGGCCGCACGCGCGUUACACUGAUGCAUUCAACGAGCUUAUAACCUUGGCCGAGAGGCCUGGGCAAUCUUUUAAACCUGCAUCGUGAUAGGGAUAGAUUAUUGCAAUUAUUAAUCUUGAACGAGGAAUUCCUAGUAAACGCAAAUCAUCAAUUUGCAUUGAUUACGUCCCUGCCCUUUGUACACACCGCCCGUCGCACCUACCGAUUGAAUGGUCCGGUGAAGCCUCGGGAUUGUGGCCAGUUCACUUUAUUGGGAGUUGGCUGUGAGAACUUGUCUAAACCUUAUCAUUUAGAGGAAGGUGAAGUCGUAACA